CAAUUCAUGGUAUGUUUAAAAGUCUUGUCUCGAUUUAACUUUUCUUAAUCUAAAGGCGACCUACAUUUAAGCAAAGAUAAUGACGUCAAGCCACAUUGGAAUUUUCUAAAGGU